UGGGGAAUAUUGGACAAUGGGCGCAAGCCUGAUCCAGCCAUGCCGCGUGAGUGAUGAAGGCCCUAGGGUUGUAAAGCUCUUUCACCGGAGAAGAUAAUGACGGUAUCCGGAGAAGAAGCCCCGGCUAACUUCGUGCCAGCAGCCGCGGUAAUACGAAGGGGGCUAGCGUUGUUCGGAAUUACUGGGCGUAAAGCGCACGUAGGCGGAUAUUUAAGUCAGGGGUGAAAUCCCGGGGCUCAACCCCGGAACUGCCUUUGAUACUGGGUAUCUGGAGUAUGGAAGAGGUGAGUGGAAUUCCGAGUGUAGAGGUGAAAUUCGUAGAUAUUCGGAGGAACACCAGUGGCGAAGGCGGCUCACUGGUCCAUUACUGACGCUGAGGUGCGAAAGCGUGGGGAGCAAACA
rnacentral:rRNA from 1 species